rnacentral:miRNA from 1 species
AGGAGGGCACAUGUGGUACAGU